rnacentral:piRNA from 1 species
UCAUUUGUCUUUCUUUACGUU